rnacentral:rRNA from 1 species
UACGUAGGUGGCAAGCGUUGUCCGGAUUUACUGGGCGUAAAGAGCGCGCAGGCGGUCGAUUUAGUCGUGUGUGAAAGCCCCCGGCUCAACUGGGGAGGGUCACGCGAUACUGAUCGACUCGAAGGCAGGAGAGGGUAGUGGAAUUCCCGGUGUAGUGGUGAAAUGCGUAGAUAUCUGGAGGAACACCGGUGGCGAAGGCGGCAUCCUGGACCGGCAUUGACGCUGAGGAGCGAAAGCCAGGGGAGCAAACGGG